GAUGAAGAACGCAGCGAAAUGCGAUAAGUAAUGUGAAUUGCAGAAUUCAGUGAAUCAUCGAAUCUUUGAACGCACAUUGCGCCCCCCAGUAUUCUGGCGGGCAUGCCUGUUCGAGCGUCAUUUCAACCAUCAAGCCCUGCUUGUGUUGGGGUCCUGCGGCUGCCCGCAGGCCCUGAAAACCAGUGGCGGGCUCGCUAGUCACACCGAGCGCAGUAGCACAUCUCGCUCAGGGCGUGCGGCGGGCUCCAGCCGUUAAAGCACCCACCUUUCGCAAGGUUGACCUCGGAUCAGGUAGUAAUACCCGCUGAACUUAAGCAUAUCAAUAAGCGGAGGA
rnacentral:misc_RNA from 1 species